UUUGGGCGUGUCUCCCUUCUCGGGAGACUCUCUCGACCCCACGAACCCUUGACCUCAAAUCGGGUGUGACUACCCGCUGAACUUAAGCAUAUCAAUAAGCGGAGGA
rnacentral:rRNA from 1 species